AAUCAACGCUGGCGGCGUGCCUCAGACAUGCAAGUCGAACGAUUAAAGCUCUCUUCGGAGAGUGUAUAGAGUGGCGCACGGGUGAGUAACACGUAAGUAAUCUACCUUCGAGUGGGGAAUAACCCGGGGAAACCCGAGCUAAUACCGCAUAAUGCAGCGGCACCUAAUGGUGACAGUUGUUAAAGGAGUAAUUCGCUUGAAGAGGAGCUUGCGGCAGAUUAGCAGUUGGUAAGGUAAUGGCUUACCAAGGCUACGAUCUGUAACCGGUCUAAGAGGACGGUCGGUCACACUGACACUGAAUAACGGGUCAGACUCCUACGGGAGGCAGCAGUCGGGAAUUUUGGGCAAUGGGCGAAAGCCUGACCCAGCAACGCCGCGUGAAGGAUGAAGUAUUUCGGUAUGUAAACUUCGAAAGAAUGGGAAGAAUAAAUGACGGUACCAUUUAUAAGGUCCGGCUAACUACGUGCCAGCCGCCGCAGU
rnacentral:rRNA from 1 species